UAGUGUUAAUGGGAGUCAUAUGAGUUAAUCCUUCAGAAUCUAAAGGAGACUAUACAGUGUAUUUUAUAUCUCUAAACAAAAUUGACCUGUGAGGCAAGAAAGAGGCCUCUCUCCGGGAAGCUGUUCUUUUGAACUGUGAGUCUCACUGAAGACUGCUGGGCAGUGUGUUGGGAUCUGGCCAUUACCCCAGCUGUACAGGAUUGUGGGCGCUGCUAUCAACACUAAAGCCUUCUAGUUCUAAAGGCUGUAUCCGGUCUCCUGCUCAGUGGUGUAGUGCACCAAGUCCUCUGGGUCUCCGAGCAUGUGGACACAUACAAGGAAUCCGGCAGUGUUGGACUGAGUCUCAAAGAGGAAAGACAUCAAGCCAUUCUAGACGU